rnacentral:lncRNA from 1 species
UCUACCUGCCAGGAGUACUGUGUGGAUCUCUAGGCUGAAGCUAGGCUCACGACACAGUAUUUCACAAACUGAUGCACAGAACUUGGCUGGGAUGUGCAUUUUUGUUUUUUGGCUUGAAGCACAAAAACUAUUUCCUCUGUAUCCAUGGAACGAGCUUAGGAGUCCUCUGGGCAAACCAGCCUAGGUCUUAGGGAACGGAGAAUUACUAUUCCCAGGUUAGCCCAAGCACUAAAGAAGGGUUCCAGAGGCCAUUCUAGACUCAUCUGCUCACCUCUCCUGGUCCACUGAGGUGUCUCUGGAAAUCCUCCACCACAGCCACAGCCUGCUCACCAUUCUCAGGUUGAUGCAGCUGCACCCAGGUCCGGAGCUCCCCAGGCAGAAUGGU